rnacentral:tRNA from 1 species
GCGGAAGUGGCGGAAUUGGUAGACGCACCAGAUUUAGGUUCUGGCGCCGUACGGUAUGAGAGUUCAUGUCUCUCCUUCCGCACUA